GUUUGAAAGCGCCCUCCAAGCCUGUGCCAGCAGAGGCGGUAAGACAGGCGACGCAAGUAUAAAGCAUCUUGACUAGGCGUACAGCGCGUCUAAGCGUAGUGGUGAUCCAAACCAGCUAUAAAUAUAAAAAUUUAUGUUGGCUGUUUAAACGCCGGGUAAUACUAGGAGUAUCGGUCAAAUGAGAAAAUCCCUGGUGGAAAGCCGAUGGUGAAGGCACCGGCAUAGGGAACACUGAAGCAACAACGCGUAAGCUUGGGUAGCGAACCGGAUUAGAGACCCGCAGUAGUCCAAACUGUAAACAAUUUCUAACUAUGUUAGAACGCCUGGUGAUACGGCGGCUACGCUAUAAAUUAAAGUACUUGGCAGCGAUAGGGAUUGCGCGGUGGAACAUGCUGUUUAAUUCGUAUCUACGCGUAAAACCUUACCACAUUUAAAUAUAU
rnacentral:rRNA from 1 species